rnacentral:rRNA from 1 species
UACGUAGGCAGCAAGCGUUGUUCGGAAUUACUGGGCGUAAAGAGUGUGUAGGCGGUGCUCUAAGUUCGGUGUGAAAUCUCCCGGCUCAACUGGGAGGGUGCGCCGAAAACUGGGGUGCUGGAGCGCGGGAGAGGAAAGCGGAAUUCCUGGUGUAGCGGUGAAGUGCGUAGAUAUCAGGAGGAACACCGGCGGUGUAGACGGCUUUCUGGACCGUAGCUGACGCUGAGACACGAAAGCGUGGGUAGCAAACAGG